rnacentral:rRNA from 1 species
AGAGUUUGAUCAUGGCUCAGAACGAACGCUGGCGGCAGGCUUAACACAUGCAAGUCGAACGGUUGUAGCAAUACAGCAGUGGCAGACGGGUGAGUAACACGUGGGAACCUUCCUAGGGGUACGAACAACUCAGGGAAACUUGAGCUAAUACCGUAUACGUCCGUGAGGAGAAAGAUUUAUCGCCCUUAGACGGGCCCGCGUCGGAUUAGCUAGUUGGUGGGGUAACGGCCUACCAAGGCGACGAUCCGUAGCUGAUCUUAGAGGAUGAUCAGCCACACUGGGACUGAGACACGGCCCAGACUCCUACGGGAGGCAGCAGUGGGGAAUCUUGGACAAUGGGCGCAAGCCUGAUCCAGCCAUGCCGCGUGAGUGAAGAAGGUCUUCGGAUUGUAAAGCUCUUUUGCCAGGGACGAUAAUGACGGUACCUGGAGAAUAAGCCCCGGCAAACUUCGUG